UUUAAGUAUGUAUAUUGGUUGCGUGUAUAAACACCAAUUUAUAACACAAAAAUAGUUAAAUUUUCGGUUUUCGAUUAGAGCCUCCGUAGUGGGGCUGGAUAUGGCACUGGAGACAAGCAUAGCGCUCGACAACACCAUUAGACCAUCCGGCGCUAUGGGGAUUGAAUUUUGAUUCUUCGCGAGAAAUAUCACGCCAUGCCCCUUUCUCCCCUACUCACACACAUAUAUUUAC
rnacentral:lncRNA from 1 species